rnacentral:tRNA from 1 species
GGAGGGGUGGCAGAGUGGUUGAUUGCGGCGGUCUUGAAAACCGCUAAGGGGAUCACCCUUCGGGGGUUCGAAUCCCCCCCCCUCCGCCA